GGGGGUGUAGCUCAGCAGUAGAGCGUGUGCUUGGCUUGCACAAGGUCCUGGGUUCAAUCCCCGGUGCCUCUA
rnacentral:tRNA from 1 species